GCGCACCCCCCCACAGCUACCCCCUUGCUCAGCGCCCUACUCCCUCUGUUCACCACACACGCUCGCUGUCGACCUCGCCCCGCAUCACCGUCGCCUCCUAGACACAUCGCCACCGACGCCGGCGACCUCCUCCUCCAGCAAGCUCCGAACAACGUCCGAAAGCGAUCUUGGUCACUGCAGAAAACUGCAGUUCAGAGCCGACUUCACGCGCAUUUUCCGGCCAACUCCGACCUCCAUUUCCGUCGAUUCCUUCGCCGGCGCGUAGCCCUUCGUGUUGUCUAUCACACGCCGUCGAUUCCGCGAAACCCAUCGUAUCGCUGUGCAACCACCCCGACAACCCAUGUUUCAGCCCACGAUAUACCCAAGACUUAGAGGAAGAACAGUUUCAGUAGGAGCCAGAGGAUUCUCAGCAGUAAGGUCUUCCAUAUGGAGCAGAAGAAGAAGCCGAAGCUUAGUCAUUCCUUUCAGCUUGUUUUGUAGCAUUUUUAUUUCCUGUUGAUCAGUGUAUUUUUAUAUUAUCCAGUAUUUCAUUCUGAUAGUUUUGUAUAAGGGCAUGUUU